UUGAACGCUGGCGGCAUGCCUUACACAUGCAAGUCGAACGGCAGCACGGGAGAAAUCCUGGUGGCGAGUGGCGAACGGGUGAGUAACAUAUCGGAACGUGCCCAUCAGUGGGGGAUAGCCCGGCGAAAGCCGGAUUAAUACCGCAUACGACCUACGGGUGAAAGCAGGGGAUCGCAAGACCUUGCGCUAUUGGAGCGGCCGAUAUCAGAUUAGCUUGUUGGGGGGUAAGAGCCUACCAAGGCGACGAUCUGUAGCUGGUCUGAGAGGACGACCAGCCACACUGGGACUGAGACACGGCCCAGACUCCUACGGGAGGCAGCAGUGGGGAAUUUUGGACAAUGGGCGCAAGCCUGAUCCAGCCAUGCCGCGUGCGGGAAGAAGGCCU
rnacentral:rRNA from 1 species